rnacentral:rRNA from 1 species
CACGUAGGGGGCAAGCGUUGUCCGGAAUCAUUGGGCGUAAAGAGCUCGUAGGCGGCUCAAUAAGUCGGGUGUGAAACCCCCAGGCUCAACCUGGGGACGCCACCCGAUACUGUUGUGGCUAGAGUCCAGUAGGGGAGUGUGGAAUUCCCGGUGUAGCGGUGAAAUGCGCAGAUAUCGGGAGGAACACCGGUGGCGAAGGCGGCGACCUGGGUCGAGACUGACGCUGAGGCGCGAAAGCGUGGGGAGCAAACAGG